rnacentral:rRNA from 1 species
CACCCCGAGUAUGUUGAUUUCAAUAGUGAUGAAGAUGAUUUGCUAGGUGAUGAUGAUUUACUUGUUGACAACUCUAGUGAUGAAAACUAUGAUGAACUUGCUAUUAAUCAUGCUAAUCAAGAUAAAAUGAAUGACAAUGAUAAGAAGGAGAUUGAGCGUCUAACUAAAGAACUAAACACUCUUAAGUUAUCUCAUGAAACUACUUUAGAAGAUCAUCGAGAACUUUUAAAAACUCAUGAGAAGCUACCGCUUCGAGAAGCUCAACCUAGAGCAAUAACAUGGGUUCCUAAAAGCCAUCAAUGA